rnacentral:rRNA from 1 species
UACGAGGGGUGCAAGCGUUGCUCGGAAUUAUUGGGCGUAAAGGGUAGGUAGGUGGUCUUAUUUGUCUGGGGUGAAAGCCUCGAGCUUAACUCGAGAAGUGCCCCAGAAACGGUAAGACUAGAGUCCUGGAGAGGGUCGUGGAAUUCCCGGUGUAGCGGUGAAAUGCGUAGAGAUCGGGAGGAACACCAGUGGCGAAGGCGGUUGCCUGGGGCUUUGCUGACGCUGAUGCGCGAAAGCGUGGGGAGCGAUCCGG